UACGAAGGGGGCUAGCGUUGCUCGGAAUCACUGGGCGUAAAGGGCGCGUAGGCGGCCAUUCAAGUCAGAGGUGAAAGCCCAAGGCUCAACCUUGGAACUGCCUUUGAUACUGUUUGGCUUGAGACCGGUAGAGGUAAGUGGAACUGCGAGUGUAGAGGUGAAAUUCGUAGAUAUUCGCAAGAACACCAGUGGCGAAGGCGGCUUACUGGACCGGUUCUGACGCUGAGGCGCGAAAGCGUGGGGAGCAACAGG
rnacentral:rRNA from 1 species